rnacentral:rRNA from 1 species
GAAAUUCCUGUACCUUAAGUAAACAGAACUGUGGGGACACGUGUGGAGAGCACAAGCCGGAAAUGGAAAAGCCGGUGCAAGCGAGGUAGGAGUACAGUAGGCAAAUCCGCUGUACAAUCCGAAGACGUGAUGCGGACCGAAUUAAGAGUAGGGAAGUGUGUGAGCCAUGCGUCAAGAAAAGCCGCUAUUGUUUUACUUAGCCCGUACCGUAAACCGACACAGGUGGAUGAGGAGAGAAUCCUAAGGCCGACGGGAGAAGCAUUGUUAAGGAACUCGGCAAAAUGACUCCGUAACUUCGGGAGAAGGAGUGCCAGCGAGAGCUGGCCGCAGAGAAUUGGCCCAAGCAACUGUUUAGCAAAAACACAGGUCUAUGCAAAACCGUAAGGUGAAGUAUAUGGGCUGACGCCUGCCCGGUGCUGGAAGGUUAAGAGGAGAGGUUAGCGGCAACGCGAAGCUUUGAAUUUAAGCCCCAGUAAACGGCGGCCGUAACUAUAACGGUCCUAAGGUAGCGAAAUUCCUUGUCGGGUAAGUUCCGACCCGCACGAAAGGCGUAAUGAUUUGGGCACUGUCUCAACAAUGCACCCGGUGAAAUUGAAAUACCAGUGAAGAUGCUGGUUACCUGCGCCAGGACGGAAAGACCCCAUGGAGCUUUACUCCAGCUUGAUACUGGGAUUCGGUAUUGCAUGUACAGGAUAGGUGGAGGCUAGGAAGUGAUAACGCCAGUUGUCACGGAGCCGCUGUUGGGAUACCACCCUUGCAGUAUUGGAUUUCUAACCAGCGACCAUGAACUGGUCGGGGGACAAUGUCAGGUGGGGAGUUUGACUGGGGCGGUCGCCUCCGAAAGGGUAUCGGAGGCGCUCAAAGGUUCCCUCAGAAUGGACGGAAACCAUUCGAAGAGUGCAAAGGCAGAAGGGAGCUUGACUGCGACACCGACGGGUGGAGCAGGUACGAAAGUAGGACUUAGUGAUCCGGUGGUAUAAAGUGGGAUUGCCAUCGCUCAACGGUUAAAAGCUACCCUGGGAUAACAGGCUUAUCACUCCCAAGAGUUCACAUCGACGGAGUGGUUUGGCACCUCGAUGUCGGCUCAUCGCAUCCUGGGGCUGAAGUAGGUCCCAAGGGUUGGGCUGUUCGCCCAUUAAAGCGGUACGCGAGCUGGGUUCAGAACGUCGUGAGACAGUUCGGUCCCUAUCCGGCGUGGGCGUAGGAUAUUUGAGAGGAGCUGUCCUUAGUACGAGAGGACCGGGAUGGACUGGCCGCUGGUGUAUCUGUUGCAUACCAAAUGCAUGGCAGAGUAGCCAAGCCGGGACGGGAUAAACGCUGAAGGCAUCUAAGCGUGAAGCCCCCCUCAAGAUGAGAUAUCCCUACGUAAGUAGUAAGACCCCUUGAAGACGACGAGGUAGAUAGGUCAGAGGUGGAAGUACAGUAAUGUAUGGAGCUGACUGAUACUAAUCGGUCGAGGGCAUG